rnacentral:rRNA from 1 species
GACGAACGCUGGCGGCGUGCCUAAUACAUGCAAGUAGAACGCUGAAGGAGGAGCUUGCUUCUCUGGAUGAGUUGCGAACGGGUGAGUAACGCGUAGGUAACCUGCCUGGUAGCGGGGGAUAACUAUUGGAAACGAUAGCUAAUACCGCAUAAGAGUAGAUGUCGCAUGACAUUUGCUUAAAGGGUGCAAUUGCAUCACUACCAGAUGGACCUGCGUUGUAUUAGCUAGUUGGUGAGGUAACGGCUCACCAAGGCAACGAUACAUAGCCGACCUGAGAGGGUGAUCGGCCACACUGGGACCGAGACACGGCCCAGACUCCUACGGGAGGCAGCAGUAGGGAAUCUUCGGCAAUGGACGGAAGUCUGACCGAGCAACGCCGCGUGAGGGAAGAAGGGUUUCGGAUCGUAAAGCUCUGUUGUAAGAGAAGAACGAGUGUGAGAGUGGAAAGUUCACACUGUGACGGUAUCUUACCAGAAAGGGACGGCUAACUACGUG